rnacentral:rRNA from 1 species
GAACCCGGAGAUAGCUGGUUCUCCCCGAAAUAGCUUUAGGGCUAGCGUCGCAGCGAGAGAGCCGUGAAGGUAGAGCACUGAAUAUGCGAUGGCCGCAUCCCGCGGUACUGAGCAUAAUCAAACUCCGAAUGUCACGGUGUCAUCUGCGGCAGUCAGACGGCGAGUGAUAAGGUCCGUCGUCAAGAGGGAAACAGCCCAGACCAUCAGCUAAGGUCCCAAAGUGCAUGCUAAGUGGAAAAGGAAGUGGAGACGUGCAGACAACUAGGAGGUUGGCUCAGAAGCAGCCAUCCUUCAAAGAGUGCGUAACAGCUCACUAGUCGAAUGACUCUGCGCCGAUAAUUUACCGGGGCUAAGCAUGACACCGAAGCUAUGGACAGGAAUGUGGUAGGGGAGCAUUGCAUGCAGCGGAGAAGCAUGACCGGGAGGGCAUGUGGAGCGCAUGGAAGAGAGAAUGCCGGCGUGAGUAGCGGCACGUGGGUGAGAAUCCCACGCACCGAUGGCCCAAGGUCUCCAGAGGAAGGCUCGUCCUCUCUGGGAUAGUCGGGACCUAAGGCGAGGCCGAAAGGCGUAGCCGAUGGACGACGGGUGGAUAUUCCCGUACCCGAUGUGUGGCGAUGGAGUGACGGAGAAGGCUCAGGCAACCAGCUGCUGGAAUAGCUGGGGCAAGCGAGAUACCUGCGCACCAGGGAAAUCCGGUGCGCAUAAGGGGAAGGCGCGAUGCAUACGGAAAGCUUCGGCAAGUACGGAAAAGCUGAGAGCAGGCUUCCAGGAAAAGCUUCUAGCACAACACACAUCGGCCCGUACCGAAAAUGGACACACAUGGGCAAGGAGAGAAUCCUGAGGUGAGCGAGAGAACUAUAGCUAAGGAACUCUGCAAAAUGACCCCGUAACUUAGGGAGAAGGGGUGCUCCAGAAAUGGAGCCGCAGUAAAACGGCCCAAGCGACUGUUUACCAAAAACACAGCUCUCUGCGAAGGCGCAAGCCGAAGUAUAGGGGGUGACGCCUGCCCGGUGCUGGAAGGUCAAGGGGAGCUGUCAGCGCAAGCGAAGCAGCGAGCCGAAGCCCCAGUAAACGGCGGCCGUAACUAUAACGGUCCUAAGGUAGCGAAAUUCCUUGUCGGGUAAGUUCCGACCCGCACGAAAGGCGUAACGAUUUGGGCGCUGUCUCAGCUGUAGACUCGGUGAAGUCUUAGUACCUGUGAAGAUGCAGGUUGCCCGCGACUAGACGGAAAGACCCCAUGGAGCUUCACUGCAGGUUGACAUUGGGCUUGGAUGCAUGAUGUACAGGAUAGGUGGGAGGCUGUGAGCCGUGCGCGCCAGCGUACGGGGAGCCGCUGUUGGGAUACCACCCUUCAUGCAUCUAGGUCCUAACCGGAGGCAACGGGCCACGGGACAGUGUCAGUCGGGCAGUUUGACUGGGGCGGUCGCCUCCCAAAGAGUAACGGAGGCGCCCAAAGAUACCCUCAGCAUGGAUGGAAACCAUGCAUAGAGUGCAAAGGCAUAAGGGUGUCUGACUGCGAGACAUACAGGUCGAGCAGGGACGAAAGUCGGGCUUAGUGAUCCGGCGGAUCCGAAUGGAAGGGCCGUCGCUCAACGGAUAAAAGCUACCCUGGGGAUAACAGGCUGAUCUCCCCCAA